CCUACGGGAGACUGCAGUGAGGAAUAUUGGUCAAUGGACGUGAGCCUGAACCAGCCAAGUCGCGUGAAGGAUGACUGCCCUAUGGGUUGUAAACUUCUUUUAUAUGGGAAUAAAGUGUUCGACGUGUGGUAUUUUGUAUGUACCAUAUGAAUAAGGAUCGGCUAACUCCGUGCCAGCAGCCGCGGUAAUACGGAGGAUCCGAGCGUUAUCCGGAUUUAUUGGGUUUAAAGGGAGCGUAGGUGGGUUGUUAAGUCAGUUGUGAAAGUUUGCGGCUCAACCGUAAAAUUGCAAUUGAUACUGGGAGUCUUGAGUACAGUUGAGGUAGGCGGAAUUCGUGGUGUAGCGGUGAAAUGCUUAGAUAUCACGAAGAACCCCGAUUGCGAAGGCAGCUUACUAAGCUGUGACUGACAUUGAUGCUCGAAAGUGUGGGUAUCAAACAGGAUUAGAUACCCGAGUAGUC
rnacentral:rRNA from 1 species